UCAUUAUUCAAGGAGGUGUUCUUGGUCUGUGAGGCAACCUGGACCUUCAGCAAUACAUGCAGUCUUUCUCUCAAUGCAUGCUUGAAAAAUGAAAAAAGCGCCUAGAGGAUCUCUCGGCAUGCUGCUCUAGGAGCCCCAUGUUUCAUUUUGAAAUGGAGUGUGAAUACACUUUUGUCCUGCUCUAAGGAAAAAGAGAUUCAUGUUUCUUUAAAAAUAAUCAGUGUAUUUGUGACUCACGAUGUGUAUGGCCAUGUCCUCUGCUGGGUCAUUUGGAAACUUAGAGAGGUUUGAAUGGUGGCACAGAGCAAAAGAAUCCACUGGUCUCCUGACGUGAGGGGGCAUACAACUCAAAAAUUACUGGCCUACAUUUUUUGUACCACCACCUUUCUUCAGAACUCAACCUAUGAGAACAAACAGUUUAAAUCCCUUGCAAAAUGCCCCAUAACCAAGCUUUGCUAUGAAAAUCCACCUUUGAAUAGGAAGAACUCUUUAUCACCUGAGAUACUAAGGGAGGCAUGUCCAAGCUGUAUCAAAAGUACCCUGUCUGGACAUGACUUCAUUCAUGGAAGAACUUCUGUCUCAGCCUACUGGAUGAAUUCCACAUGAGGAGAAGAGGAUUUUGUUGAGCAUGUGACAAACUGGAGAAGCAGGUCAUGAAUACAUGCUAAAGCAUUCUGUUGCUCAACUUGUGCCACAUGAAGGCAUUACUUGCACACCUUCUUAGGGAUCGGAGAUUUUGGAAUGGUGAUGCAAACAUGCAUGUAUUUGGAAGAAAGGUCUGUGGGAAGUGGCUUCCCAGUUGGAGAAUCAGUUUCCUUUUUGAAAUGCAUUUUGGACUCCUCUGCUGCCAGAAACUGGCCUGGAAAUAAGCAGCUAUGUCAAAAACAAAUGGCUGUAAAGACGUGGAUGGCAAUGGAUACAC